rnacentral:rRNA from 1 species
AGUGAACGCUGGCGGUAGGCCUAACACAUGCAAGUCGAACGGCAGCACAGUAAGAGCUUGCUCUUACAGGUGGCGAGUGGCGGACGGGUGAGGAAUACAUCGGAAUCUACUUUUUCGUGGGGGAUAACGUAGGGAAACUUACGCUAAUACCGCAUACGACCUACGGGUGAAAGCAGGGGAUCUUCGGACCUUGCGCGAUUGAAUGAGCCGAUGUCGGAUUAGCUAGUUGGCGGGGUAAAGGCUCACCAAGGCGACGAUCCGUAGCUGGUCUGAGAGGAUGAUCAGCCACACUGGAACUGAGACACGGUCCAGACUCCUACGGGAGGCAGCAGUGGGGAAUAUUGGACAAUGGGCGCAAGCCUGAUCCAGCCAUACCGCGUGGGUGAAGAAGGCCUUCGGGUUGUAAAGCCCUUUUGUUGGGAAAGAAAAGCAGCAGGUUAAUACCCCGCUGUUCUGACGGUACCCAAAGAAUAAGCACCGGCUAACUUCGUG